UGCAGGAUAGAGCAGUGGUCAGCUCACCGGGUUCAUAUUCCGGAGGUCGUUGGUUCGAAUCCAGCUCCUGCAA
rnacentral:tRNA from 1 species